rfam:Triticum aestivum genome assembly, contig: Triticum_aestivum_CS42_TGACv1_scaffold_250489_3DL
AAGGUACUCCCUUCGUCUGGAAUUACUUGUCACAGAAAUGGAUAAAAAUAGAUGUAUCUAGACCUAAAAUACGUCUGAAUACAUCCAUUUAUCCGACAAGUAAUUCCAGACGGAGGCAGUACAAA